CCCUUAGAUGUUCUGGGCCGCACGCGUGCUACACUGAGUGGAUCAGCGGGUCAGGUUGCGCGAAAGCGUUUCCUAAUCUUUAAAUCCGCUCGUGAUGGGGAUUGACGGUUGCAAUUUUCUGUCAUGAACGAGGAAUACCUUGUAAGCGCGGGUCAUCAUCCCGCGCUGAAUACGUCCCUGCCCUUUGUACACACCGCCCGUCGCUCCUACCGAUUGAGUGGUCCGGUGAAGUUCGUAGACCUCGUGAUCGCGGAUCACUGGGGGAAGCAAAAUGAACCUCGCGGUUUAGAGGAAGGAGAAGUCGUAACA
rnacentral:rRNA from 1 species